AUAAUUUAUGCAGUUCUGUGCAAAAGUUUUGGCACAAACUCUGCAGCAAAUUAUUAUUAUUUUUAAAUAACAUUUGUCUGCCAAAUAUGAAUGCACAGUCAGCUGUGGAAGGUGCAAAAGUUUGGGCAUCCUUCCAAUUGUAAAGUCUCAGAACUUAAGUAACUCAUUAGGCCUUAAUUGACUCCUUUGGACUCGUUACUCAGGUCAGGAACUGUCAUUAGGAACUGUCAGCUGAUGACGAAUUCACAAUGGAAUAAAGUUUCUGACUUUUCAAGCUUUGUGAUAAUAAUCAACAACAACAACAACCACCACCACCACACACGUCUCUCUGCAGCAGACUGAGGAUCUAAAAAUUAAGCUAAUUGAUGUGAAAAAGCAGAGCAUUGCUUUCACGGGCAUGAUUUGCAUGGAAGAGUCAUAAGAAGGAAACCUUAUUCACAAACUCAUCACGAAAGAUAACAUCUGAAGGAUACAAAACAGCAUCUUGAUAAGCCAGAGACAUUCUGGAAACCAGUGCUGUGGACUGAUGAAGUGGAAAUGCAAUUCUUUGGCCACAAUCAACGAAGGUAUGUUUGUAGGGGGAAAAAAAGAGUAGCAUUUGAUGAAAAGAACACAACCAUUAAACAUCUUUAUACUGUGGGCUGUGGAGCAACCAAGUUAGUAGUGUGUCCAAGCCUUUGCACAUGCUACAAUUUCUAUUUUAUUAUUUAAUUAUUAUUUUUUCAUCAAAUAGAUAUCCAUAAAUUAUCUGUGCAUUAACAUCUGCAGAAUAAUACCAUUUUUGCUGUAGUGGUGGUGUUUCACUUCAAAAAUCACUAUAAUAUGAAGUUUGGCCAGCGGUGCCCAAGAGUUUUGCAUACAACCUGUUUAUUUGUGUAUUUGGUUUUAAUAAAGUCCCAUACAAAUAAACAAAUGAAUGAAUAAAUUAAUUAGUAACUAUAAGUAGCAUAGUAACUGUCAUGUCAUGGCAAACUAACGACUCCAUUUCUCAGAAAGCACCAUGAACUACAAACAUGGCCGACGACUACAACUUCCAAUGGAACACACAGACACGUCGCCUUCUCCUGUGAACUAAUCACACACACCUGUUCCCAGGCACACUGACAAUCUCACCACACUACUUAACAGUACACUAUGUCUUUGAGAAGUAUUAUGCGCAGUUGAUCUUAUCUGUCGUUAUCAAGCCUUGUUACCAUGUUUGACGUUAUGGUUUUUUGCACUGUGUUUAUUCCCUUGACCUUGAUUCUCUGCCUUGCCUGAUGUGGAUUGGUUGCCUGAUAGCAUGACCUUUGCCUGUUUAUGUACUUCAACUCUUGCCUGUACCUUUUGUAUUCGUUAUCAUUAAACUGUCAUACUUCCUUAUCAACCUCCAUUAUGUCACUGUAACUAUAAAUAGCAUAAACUAUAUGUGUAAAAAUUUUUUUACUAAGUUAUAUAAUUAAUUUGGACAUUUCUGUCCAACUAUCCAUCCAUCCAUCUUCUAGACCACUUAUCCUUUUCAGGGUCACAGGGAACCUGGACCCUAUCCCAGGAAGCAUCGGGCAUGAGGUGGAGUACACCCUGGACAAGCACAAUCACAUACACACACCCAUUCAUACACUACAGACAUGCCAAUCAGCCUACCAUGCAUAUCUUUGGACUGGG
ensembl:lncRNA